GACGAACGCUGGCGGCGUGCUUAACACAUGCAAGUCGAGCGGGAAAGUUUCCUUCGGGAAGCGAGUACAGCGGCAGACGGGUGAGUACGACGUAGGUAACCUACCCUCGAGACUGGGAUAACCUGUCGAAAGACGGGCUAAUACCGGAUAAGACCACAAGGGCUGCGGCCUUUGAGGUAAAAGAUGGCCUCUGCUUGCAAGCUAUCACUUGGGGGAUGGGGCCUGCGCGCCAUUAGCAGUUGGUGAGGUAACGGCUCACCAAGGCAAAGAUGGCUAGCUGGUCUGAGAGGAUGGCCAGCCACACUGGGACUGAGACACGGCUCAGACUCCUACGGGAGGCAACAGUGGGGAAUAUUGCGCAAUGGGCGAAAGCCUGACGCAGCGACG
rnacentral:rRNA from 1 species